GUAGGUGGCAAGCGUUGUCCGGAAUUAUUGGGCGUAAAGCGCGCGCAGGCGGUCCUUUAAGUCUGAUGUGAAAGCCCACGGCUCAACCGUGGAGGAUCAUUGGAAACUGGGGGACUUGAGUACAGAAGAGGAAAGCGGAAUUCCAAGUGUAGCGGUGAAAUGCGUAGAGAUUUGGAGGAACACCAGUGGCGAAGGCGGCUUUCUGGUCUGUAACUGACGCUGAGGCGCGAAAGCGUGGGGAGCAAACAGGGAUUAGAUACCCUGGUAGUCCACGCCGUAAACGAUGAGUGCUAAGUGUUAGGGGGUUUCCCGCCCCUUAGUGCUGCAGCUAACGCAUUAAGCACUCCGCCUGGGGAUACGGCCGCAAGGCUG
rnacentral:rRNA from 1 species